rnacentral:rRNA from 1 species
GCGAACGCUGGCGGCAGGCCUAACACAUGCAAGUCGAGCGCCCAGCAAUGGGAGCGGCAGACGGGUGAGUAACGCGUGGGGAUCUACCCAAUGGUACGGAAUAACCCAGGGAAACUUGGAUUAAUACCGUAUGUGCCCGAAAGGGGAAAGAUUUAUCGCCAUUGGAUGAACCCGCGUCUGAUUAGCUAGUUGGUGGGGUAAUGGCCCACCAAGGCGACGAUCAGUAGCUGGUCUGAGAGGAUGAUCAGCCACACUGGGACUGAGACACGGCCCAGACUCCUACGGGAGGCAGCAGUGGGGAAUAUUGGACAAUGGGCGCAAGCCUGAUCCAGCCAUGCCGCGUGUGUGAUGAAGGCCUUAGGGUUGUAAAGCACUUUCGCCGGUGAAGAUAAUGACGGUAACCGGAGAAGAAGCCCCGGCUAACUUCGU